GCAGCAACAGUAGUACAAUGCAACAGGGACCAGACAUAGAUCCACCUGACGUCCAUGUGAAGAGAGGAAGGAAGAAAGAAAAGAUGAUAAAAGGCAUGUUUGAAGUCCCAAAGCCAAAUGACACUUCUAGAAUGGCACUAUAACAUUCACUAAUUGUGAGCUACAAGGACAUAGGUACACCAACUGCAAGAAACCUUUGAAACCAAAGUUGGCUAUGACGAAAAAUAAGCACGUGGCACUUGCAAGAUCACAACCCCUAGCCGCAAGUUCACAACCCCUACCUCAAACUCGAGCUGCUAGUUCACAACCAGCUGCAAGAUCAAAACCAACUGCAAGAUCACAACGAGGUGCAAGAUCACAGCGAGCUGCAAGAUCAUAGCCAGCUGCAAGAUCUGCUAGGGGUGGAAGUUCUGUUGCUGCAAGCUAUCAAAGACCAUUUUCUGCCCCAAGAGCUUCAACUUCUGGUACUUCAACUGCUGGUGAUUCAACUUCUGGUGCUCCUCCUACUGCUGGUGGCCCAACAAACCAUUCUGAAUGGAUGGCUUAUUUUACUACCAGUGGAAACACAUAAGUGCAAUAUGUAAUCAGUUGUGUGAACAAUGUGGCUUAUGUGAUGUGUGUAAUGAGUUAUGUGAACCGUGGUACUAUGCUUUUGAACCCUGGUAGUAUGUACACUUUUGAACCAUAUUGGGUUAUGUGGACAUCUAUGUUAUGUGAUGCUUUUGCAACCCACUGUUCUUUUGCAA